CUGAAAAUAGAUAAGUGGAAUACAAUCUUGACUCCUGGUAUAUUUCUUACAGAAUUAUAUAUUGUUACGGCUGAAUGAUAGAUUACCUGAUAAUGGUAGACGUUUCGCGUCACAUACUGACGCGGCUUUUUUAAUGUAUACACAUGCGCUCCAGAACCCGAUGUAGAGAUCGAUUUACAUAAAUCUUUGGUUUAAUGUUUCAUGUUAGUCGAUGGGUAGCAUUGCAUAGAUUGAACAUUUUGCAUUUUAUUCAAAAAAAUAUUAUUAAUAGAUAUGUAAAAAUGUGCAAUGUGAUGUCAAAUUUGCAUGAUCCCACCCUCUACGUUAUUUAUCAUCACAAAUCUACUGCUAUAUCCCUUCCCUUCAAGUAGAAAUGAUUCAUCCAAUCAUACAAUUCUUCGAUUUAUUCGAUUCUUUGAUUCAUUUGAUUCAAACGAUUCUUCGAUUCAAAUGAAUCAAAUGAUCGAAUCAAAUGAAUCGAUUCAUUUAAACGAAUUGAAUCAAAUGAAUCGAUUCAUUGAAAAGAAUCAUUUUGCCCAUCACUACCAGUGAGUACUCUUGCAUGCUAAUAAUACCACACAGAACAGUGAAUCGACUUCAACUUGCAGCAUUUGAUAUCUUCUGCAGUGAGAGCAAACAAUUCCUAUGGCACAUAGUGGCAGGAGACGAAACAUGUCACCAGUUUGAGGCAGAAAGGAAGUCCAUCAGCUUGUAGUCGAAGAAUGCCAGCUCGCUCAUGCUAAGAAAUUGAAAAAAACAGCAGUCAUCAGAAAAGAUUAUGUUGACUCAUUCUUCAACAUUCAGGAAUCCAUCUUACUGGAGUUUAAGAAAUCCAACACCACAAUCAAUGCAUAACAGUACACCCAUCACUCAAUAUCUGCAUAAGGCUAUCAAAAACAAGUGACCUGGCUUGCUGUUUUCACGAGUCAUCAUUCUUCA
rnacentral:lncRNA from 1 species